UACAGAGGGUGCGAGCGUUAAUCGGAAUGACUGGGCGUAAAGGGUGCGUAGGUGGUUUGUUAAGUGUGCUGUGAAAUACCCGGGCUUAACCUGGGAACGGCAGCACAUACUGAUGAGCUUGAGUAGGUGAGAGGAGUGUGGAAUUUCCGGUGUAGCGGUGAAAUGCGUAGAGAUCGGAAAGAACACCAGUGGCGAAGGCGGCACUCUGGUACCAUACUGACACUGAAGCACGAAGGCGUGGGGAGCAAACAGG
rnacentral:rRNA from 1 species